AACGACUCUCGGCAACGGAUAUCUCGGCCUCGAUCGAUGAAGAACGUAGCGAAAUGCGAUACUUGGUGUGAAUUGCAGAAUCCCGUGACAUCGAGUCUUUGAACGCAAGUUGCGCCCGAAGCCACUAGGCCGAGGGCACGUCUGCCUGGGCGUCACG
rnacentral:rRNA from 1 species